rnacentral:ncRNA from 2 species
ACUACCCAAGUCGGGACCGGUCCCGGCGGGGGUCAUCCGCGCCGGGGGAAAGAGGGAAUGCCGUGCGGCCCAUCCGGGCCAAACCGGCAGCUGCCCCCGCAACUGUAAGCGGCGAGCCGGGCCAAGACGCCACUGGAGCAAUCCGGGAAGGCAGGCCCAAGGUGACGACCCGCAAGCCAGGAGACCUGCCGGUCGGGCGCCCCUUCG